GACUUCAAAACCAGAGAGAGAAUAACUUCUAAAUUAUGCAGCUCUUCCUCCGCCAUCUGGAUGCAACAACAAAAACAGAUGAGCUCAAACCUGAGAAAACCUGGAAUCUGCCCAAAUCAAGCCAUUUAUAGCUUCGAGGUAUUAAACAGCCACUAGGAAAGUUGAUGAAUUUGAUGGAGUCAGUGGCAUUUCACAAGCCUUCACAGGCACGGGGUCAUGAAAGGUGCAUGGGAGGAUCCGGACCCUUUGCGCCCAGCAUGCUUUGCUUGCCAUCACCUCCACAUCGCCCUUCGGAGGAAAGCGGCAGCUGGUCAGGCUCCUCCGAGACCUUUCAGGAGAGCCCUGAGAGGUGAGGUGAGGACAAAUGAUAAGGAACUGAGGCCACCGUGAGCAAGAAGAUAUAGAUGGCAGGAACAGUAAGAUAAGCACACAUUAUUUGUGUAAUAGUAAAGCCGUGUUAUUAAAGAGAAGAAUUACCCAAAGAGA
rnacentral:lncRNA from 1 species